UAUAUUUUAAUAUAUGAUGUAUUUAAGAUUUUGAUUCUUAAUGAAAUGGUUUAAUUCCAUUAGAUAUAA
rnacentral:tRNA from 1 species